UCAUAAUAUAGUAAGGAUAAAAAAUAUCUAAAAAUAUCAUAUUAUAGUAAGGCGUAUAAAACCAUCAAAUAUUCUGGUUCAGCUGUAAUGUUGAAUAUUUAUCUGUGUUUUCAUGGUUAAACUGUUGUUGAGGAAUAGGUAGUAGUGUAUUGAUCAUUUUCCUUUGUAUGUUUCUCUGUGAUUUCCUCCAGGUGUCACCACUUCCUCCAUGACAUCAUCCACAAUCAGAGACCUUGUCAAAGAUGAGAGAGAGGACAGAGGCCUCCAGCUGAAUUCACAGAAACAACAGGAUCCACCAAUAGUGAAGAUGACAGCAGCUGAAGACCUGAGGAUUUGGAUGAAAGAAAAGAAGUGUUAUGAAGCUAUUAAUUAGAUAAAAGACCUCCACCAUCUAACUGCUGUAAACAGUGUUGUUUCCUGUUGUUCAAGUAAAAACAUUUUGUUUUUUUCUACCAUCUGUAAUGUAGUCAUGGGCACAUUUUCCAAAGACUAAUAUAUCUUUAUUAAACACCUGUGAGAACAUUGAACUACUUAUGAUACAGCAAUUUAAUUAAUGAUCGUAUCACAAGCAGUUAAAUGAUCACAAAGAUGGUUAGUAGACAUGUUCAUCUUUUUUUUUUUAAAUGUGCUCAUAACAUCAUUAACCCUAACCAGCUCUAACAAGUGUUUCCUUGUGGUCAAAUGUCAUCUUUGCGGUCAAAUAUCAUCUUUGCUGUGAUUUGUUAAAUGUUGUCUGGAAUAAAAUCAUUAAGUUUCUUCCUAAACUUUUGAGUUACAUUUCUUGUUUUUAUAACUGAUGUUAUACAAAUAAUUUUAUUUUUUAUCAGAAAAAUGUCAUUUCUAAUGUUUUAA